rnacentral:snRNA from 1 species
GUGCUUGCUUCAGCAGCACAUAUAGUAAAACUGGAAUGAGACAGAGAUUAGCACGGUCACUGUGCACAGGUGAUCGGUUUCUGUCCCGGUAUAACAAAAGCCAUUU